rnacentral:lncRNA from 1 species
GUUUUAAUAUUGUAUUGUUGUGCUUAGGAUAAGCAACUCAUUGGUUCUACAUUUAUAGUUUGCUUUGAACUUCUUGAGCUCGUAUGACUAAUCUCCCUGUAACUUGUGAGAAAGUGAAAUUCUUGUUUGAGAGAUUAUAGCUGACAUGAAAAUGUCAAAUCGGAUAAAUGACAGAAUUUUCAUUCCCUUACAACAGAUUGUUUCAUGCAUAAAUAUUGCUGAAGUUGAUACCUUAAAUACUAAAAGCUCCUCUAGUCAGUAGGAAGUUGGUCUCUUACUCUUCCAAUUUUUGAAGUUGAUUUUGUUCUAUGGUUUGGCUGCUGUCGCCUAUUUCAUACUUAAAAGUCAAAUGUAACACCUCCACACUCUUGGGCCACUUGAGAUCAACUCUGGGUAGAAGACAGGGUGAUUGAUCCACCUUGGCUCCUGCAGUUUUCCUGGUUGGGUCUGGCAGAUACACCUAUUGAUUGUUAGUAAAUCAAUUUUUAGCUGACAUAAAAAUAAAAAUUCUUUCCUGAACAUCAAAUCUUUUGUUGUUGACUUGUUAUUGGAUGAAACCUUAAUGAUUUUUUUCAUCAGGAGCUAUUUCUAGUUGUCUGUUCUUCUUCAGAAGUAAGAUUUGAACAUUCUUUAAGUAGAUACUAGUAGUGGUUAUAGUUGAAGUCCUUGUACACCUAUUACUGGUUUGAAUUUGAUAAAUGCUUGGCUGACUGGAAUGGUGUUUUGGCUCUUUACUAAGCUCUUUGACCUGGAUUUCUUGCCAGACUUUUAUUCACCUAUUAACAUCUCUUUUUCUUCCCUUUUAGUUAAAGGUGAUGGGGCUACACAACCUUUGCCUUAUCGCUAAUUGUGAUGAAUUUACCUUCCCUUCAUAUAUGUUGUUAGACCUGUCAAAUUGAGAUAAAAUAUGGAAUCAUUCCAAUCUUACUCUAGAAAGUAUUCUUAACGUUGUAGUAUUCGUGUGUGAUGCAGGACAUUGAUGUUGUCUCAUUGUCGGGUUGAUUGUCACAAAAUCUGCAAUCUCCUCUCCUACAGUAUAAGAUUGAUUAUUCACAUUUGAAUCAACUUUCUAUGUUGCAUUUUGCAUUUUUUAUUUGAUGUAUGAAUUAGUGGCUGAAUUCACUUAUCGGACUAAAAUUUUGAUAAUCUGUAUGAUCAGGUGCAUUUUAUCCACCACCUAAAAUCUGGUGUAAAAUGCUACUAGGGCAAAAUCAUACAUCAAUCAACUUUUACUGGAUCACAUUGUUAUUUGUUAUACUCUAAAUUUUCAUAUCACGGGUCAGAUAUGAAAAGAUGAAUAAAUUAAUAUAAUAUGAAUCAACAAUUGCUACUACAAGUCGGUUGGUCUUGCAGUGAAAUUACUAUGGUGGGUUGUGUGGUUUUAGUUUCAUUUUUAGUUUUCUUGUUCUUUGCAAUUUGGUAGCAUCCCAUCUCUGGUUUGUAUGUAUUCUCUAUAUUUGUAUUUACUUAUUAUACAUAUGAAUUGAAGUUAUGAGAUUAUUAUAUAAGAACAAGAUGUCAACUUGGAUUAGGGAAGCAAGAUUGUGAUGGGGGUAUAUGUUCAAAUCUACUUGUUUGACUCAUGACUGGAGUCGAGCUCUAGUCAAAUUGAAUUCGAAGGUAAAGAGUGAAGGCUAAAGAGAAACCUCUUUCUCAUUCUGGGUUUCAUUUUUGUUUUUUCAGUCUUUCUUUCUUUCUUUCUUUCAUUCUUUCUUUCUUUGUGGGUAAAAUGAGGUGUUUCCUGGUUCCUUAGUGCAGGUAUCUUUUGAAAGUUCCUUAUAUAAAGAGGGAAUUUUAUUUUAUGUGUUUGUGGGGGCAUAAAUGUGUUUUUUUUGGCUACCUGUUUUGUAUCAUAUUGUAUAUUUAUAGACCUUUCUUGGUGUUUUUGGGAGAGUUUGUUACAAGGCCUGUGAGUGUGAGGGCAUAAAUGCGUUUUCUUUUCUUUUUGUUUAUAAAUUGAGUAACAACAAUAUACAUGUUUUCUAUUCUUUUCUUUUUCAUUGUAAAUUAAGUUUCCAAUUUUUUUUUCCAUCACAAAACUCAUAAAAAGAAAAAGAGUGUUCUUCAAUAAACCUUAGUAAGGGGAAUUUGAAACAGAAAAGAAGGUCACUAAUUAUAGAAAAGAAAUGAUGAGGCAUGACACUUACAUAGGUGGAGGUGGCUUUGGGACCAAUUUGUAUGUCUCAGUACCACCACCACUACUAGUACUAGGGGAUGACCACCGCCAAGGCCAAGGUUAUAACAGAACAGAGGACCACAGCUCCACCUCCCAUGCGCUAUCAUAUCAUAUAUUGUUGCCUGCAUCCCCAAUUUGAGCCCCCCUCUCAAGAACUCACGAGAAAUGCUCGUUGAAUCGUACAGUACAAUACAGCUCACCAAAGAAUUUUUCUCUAAAUACCUCCUAGUAUUAUCUUCUUCUUUCUUCUUCUUCUAGAGUUUUCUUGGGAAGAAUUGUUUCAUUGCUUCACAUGGCAGCAGCUAUAGGCUAUAGCAAAUGAUGGAAGUCACUAAAGACAUUAUUCUUAAAAUUAUGAUAUCCCCUUUUUUGGAAUAUUUACUUUUCAAC